UUUACUAUCUGUUUGCAUCACACUCUGUCUUACUUUGACAUCAUAGUAUCUUUGCAAAUACCUUCAUUUGGAGUUGUAGUUUACGAAAAAUAGAAGCUCAGAUCAGAGCAUCACCACAUCCAGUAUAUAGCUCACAUAACUACCAUCGGUGAUCAACCUCGUAAGUUCAUACAAGAACAACUUAGUUAGGGGAUUGGAGGAGAGAUAAUGCGAGGAAUUAUUUUAAAUUUAAGUUGUUUGAUUCAAUUAUCUAGAGGAGAAUGGAGAGAAACAAAAUAUCUCAUAGAUCUAUCUAUGUCUCUCUCUAAUUUGUAGGAUUUAGAAGGGAGAGAAGGAGAUCAAAAUAGCUUAUAAAUCAUAUAAAAUUCCACACCUCCUAUUGAAAACAAUAUAAAUUUAAUUAAAAACUCUUGUUCCCUCUCCCAUUUUGAUCGAAAUAUAUUUUUAUUCUCUUCCAUCCACUUCCUUCUAUUACAUCCACCCCCUUUGUUAAUAUUAUCAUCUGAGUGCAACGUUAUUUUGUUUAUCGUCUUGAUAUGAUGUUGUUUGAUUUUUUCAUCUUGUUGCCGUAUUCAUUUAAUUUAGAUUUGACAUACUUUGAUCCAUUACAAGAUUAAAUCAAUGACUAUGAUGUCAUCAACAUUACACAUUCAGAGAUCUUAGUAUUUCAAAUACUUGAAUUUUAUCAUAUUUAUUAGGAUA
rnacentral:lncRNA from 1 species